rnacentral:rRNA from 1 species
UACGUAGGCAGCGAGCGUUUGUUCGGAAUUACUGGGUGUAAAGAGUGUGUAGGCGGUGCUCUAAGUUCGGUGUGAAAUCUCCUGCUUAACUGGGAGGGUGCGCCGGAAACUGGAGUGCUUGAGUGUGGGAGAGGAAAGCGGAAUUCCUGGUGUAGCGGUGAAAUGCGUAGAUAUCAGGAGGAACACCUGUGGUGUAGACGGCUUUCUGGACCAUUGCUGACGCUGAGACACGAAAGCGUGGGUAGCAAACAGG